CGCACAAGUCAAGAAUCGUUCGAUCUUCGAGUAAUGGCUAGCGCAAAACGACAUGGACGUGUGUUGACUCGAUUCCCAAUCAAUGUUCACCUAUAUAGAAAACACAUUUAUCACAGAUAUUUGUAAAAAAAAGUAAUAAUGUAACUGUAGACCAGCUUUUAUCUUGAGCAACCAUCGACGUUUGACAUGAUGUCGCGAAGCAUCUCUACAUUCGCGGGCCGAGCACUUGGACACCAUGAGUUGUCUGUGUUGUUUCUGUGGCUUCGUUUGCAUAUUUGUUGGACUUGUAUUUGCCUAAACAUCAAGAAAUUUUACAUAAUAAGAUUACAUAUUCAAAGACCGA